UACGAACCGUCCAAACGUUACUCGGAAUCACUGGGCUUAAAGGGUGCGUAGGCCGCGCGGAGGGUGGGAUGUGAAAUCCCCCGGCUCAACCGGGGAAUAGCGUCCCAAACCGCCGUGCUCGAGGGAGACAGAGGUGAGCGGAACUGAUGGUGGAGCGGUGAAAUGCGUUGAUAUCAUCAGGACACCAGUGGCGAAAGCGGCUCACUGGGUCUUUCCUAACGCUGAGGCACGAAAGCUAGGGGAGCGAACGGG
rnacentral:rRNA from 1 species